GAAUUGACGGGGGCCCGCACAAGCGGUGGAGCAUGUGGUUUAAUUCGAUGCAACUCGAAGAACCUUACCAGGUCUUGACAUCCCUCUGACCGGUCCGUAACGGGGCCUUCCCUUCGGGGCAGCGGAGACAGGUGGUGCAUGGUUGUCGUCAGCUCGUGUCGUGAGAUGUUGGGUUAAGUCCCGCAACGAGCGCAACCCUUGUGAUUAGUUGCUACGCAAGAGCACUCUAAUCAGACUGCCGUUGACAAAACGGAGGAAGGUGGGGACGACGUCAAAUCAUCAUGCCCCUUAUGAUCUGGGCUACACACGUACUACAAUGGCGAUCAACAAAGAGAAGCAAGACAGUGAUGUGGAGCAAAUCUCAAAAAAUCGUCCCAGUUCGGAUUGUAGUCUGCAACUCGACUACAUGAAGCCGGAAUCGCUAGUAAUCGCGAAUCAGCAUGUCGUGGUGAAUACGUUCCCGGGCCUUGUACACACCG
rnacentral:rRNA from 2 species